rnacentral:rRNA from 1 species
AUUGAACGCUGGCGGCAGGCCUAACACAUGCAAGUCGAGCGGAUGAAGGGAGCUUGCUCCUGGAUUCAGCGGCGGACGGGUGAGUAAUGCCUAGGAAUCUGCCUGGUAGUGGGAGAUAACGUCCGGAAACGGGCGCUAAUACCGCAUACGUCCUGAGGGAGAAAGUGGGGGAUCUUCGGACCUCACGCUAUCAGAUGAGCCUAGGUCGGAUUAGCUAGUUGGUGGGGUAAAGGCCUACCAAGGCGACGAUCCGUAACUGGUCUGAGAGGAUGAUCAGUCACACUGAAACUGAGACACGGUCCAGACUCCUACGGGAGGCAGCAGUGGGGAAUAUUGGACAAUGGGCGAAAGCCUGAUCCAGCCAUGCCGCGUGUGUGAAGAAGGUCUUCGGAUUGUAAAGCACUUUAAGUUGGGAGGAAGGGCAGUAAGUUAAUACCUUGCUGUUUGGACGUUACCACAGAAUAAGCACCGGCUAACUUCGU